rnacentral:rRNA from 1 species
CUGCGAGUGAGCGGGAAAAGCUCAAAUUUAAAAUCUGGUGGUCUUUGGCCAUCCGAGUUGUAAUUUAGAGAAGCGUCUUCCGCGCUGGACCAUGCACAAGUCUCCUGGAAUGGAGCGUCAUAGAGGGUGAGAAUCCCGUCUUUGGCAUGGAUGCACCAGGGCUUUUGUGAUGCGCUCUCGAAGAGUCGAGUUGUUUGGGAAUGCAGCUCAAAAUGGGUGGUGAACUCCAUCUAAAGCUAAAUAUUGGCGAGAGACCGAUAGCGAACAAGUACCGUGAGGGAAAGAUGAAAAGCACUUUGGAAAGAGAGUGAAACAGUACGUGAAAUUGUUGAAAGGGAAACGCUUGAAGUCAGUCGCGUCGGCCAAGACUCAGCCUUGCCUUGGCUUGGUGUACUUCUUGGCCGACGGGUCAGCAUCAAUUUCGCCCCUUGGAUAAUGGCUAGGGAAAUGUGACACCUUUCAGGUGUGUUAUAGUCCUUUGUCACAUGCAAGGGUCAGGAUUGAGGAACUCAGCAUGCACCUUUGGGUGUCGGGGUUUUU